rnacentral:sRNA from 1 species
GAAGAGGAAACGUGAGAAUGAAAGUGGAUGCCCGCGAAUCCCGGAAGUCAGGCUGUUUUUUUCAGUUCCCUGGAGGCUUUUUGAUACUGAUUCGCGUACACCUGUUGUUUGAAAGCUCUCAGCGGGACAAUGCUGACCCAGCUGAAAGCAAAAUCAGAGGGGAAGCUUGCAAAACAGAUUUGCAAAGUUGUGUUGGAUCAUUUUGAAAAACAGUAUUCCAAAGAACUCGGAGAUGCCUGGAAUACAGUAAGAUAAUUUCUUCUCAUCCUUCAAGAUUUAACAUAUUGGAUAAUAUACAAAAGCUAAUGUUGUUCCUGAAUUAGUAAUCCUCUUAAACAAUAAGCUUAAAAGGAAACAUGCAGGAUUUAACCUUUCUAAGAGAUAGGAAAGAAAAUGUGAAUAAAUGGAGAAACAUAUUGUGAUCAGGAUUGGAAAAAUUGACUGCAAUAAAGAUGUGAAAUCUCUCCAAGUUUAAAGCAUUUAAUAUAAUCCUAGGCAAGGUUACUAUAUCUCUACCUGUCUACAUACACAAAUAUUGUAUAAAUUAUGUUUAACUGAACUUUUAUUCCAAAGUUCAUCUGAAAGAAUAAACAUUCAAGAUAGCUUUGAAAAUUCUGAAGAAAAAUAGAAGAACGAAUAGAGAUUUGUCCUGUCUGAUGUUAACUAAUUGAAAGUGUUCUACUCCUUUUUAGCUGAUGGGUAGGCACAUGAUGCAAGCCAAGCCGCUCCUUCUGUAUAACUGUGUUUCUGAUCAUUUUUUUAUUACACAUGACUCAACACUGGAUAGAUUUUUCAGCCUGUUUGGAGGUAAGAUUA